rnacentral:misc_RNA from 1 species
ACAUUUAUUAAAUAUAGUCACUUUAUUAAAUAAUGUGAGAAACUCUAUAUUUUUUGCGAAUAGACCUGAAGAUGAAUUAUGAAAGGGUGUGACAAGUAUCAGUAAUGCAGGAAGACGCAGAGAUAGAGCAAGAAGAGUCGUGAAAAGAGAAAGCUCCUAAAUAAGGAGCAAAUUAUUGGCAUGGGAAAAAUUCCGAUACAAUUUCCUGGUCUAAACACUCCUGUGUUUAGAGGAAAAGAAUUAAUUCAACAGCAAAAACUGCUUGUAAAUCUUGAAAGAAAGCAAAAACUUAUGGAAUUACCACAAAGUCAGACCAGACCAAUGCAAAUAAAAUUAUCGCCAUUGGAAUGUGGUUGGAGGAGUGUUACAAUGGAUGGCAGAAGCAUUGAAUCAGAUCUUAUUGGAAAAGUUCUAAAUAUUAGAAUCUUAUAUAAUUAAUAUCUUUGUU